UUCCUCUGGCCCUUCUUUGGUCUUUCAGCAAGCCAUGCAAGCCCACCGAGCAGCAACAUCAUUUGCAAAGCGUGCCUCUCUUUCAAUCCACCCUCAACAACCCACGCACAUCGAGUAAAGCAGCCGGCUUAAUAUUUUUGUGACGUUCCUCUGGCCCUUCUUUGGUCUUUCAGCAAGCCAUGCAAGCCCACCGAGAAGCAACAUCAUUUGCAAAGCGUGCCUCACUUUCAAUCCACCCUCAACAACCCACGCACAUCGAGUAAAGCAGCCGGCUUAAUAUUUUUGUGACGUUCCUCUGGCCCCUUCUUUCGUCUUUCAGCAAGCCAUGCAAGCCCACCGAGCAGCAACAUCAUGCGCAAAGCGUGCCUCACUUUCAAUCCACCCUCAACAACCCACUCACAUCGAGUAAAGCAGCCUGCUUAAUAUUUUUGCGAUUUUCCACAAACUCCGGAUGCCCACCAAUCAGCUCAUCAUGUCCAACGAUUUAUUAUCUCACAGACGUCAAAAGCUAUUAUUUUAUUGAAUUUUUGUGCAUUUGGCUAUAUCAGCAAUGUUUCUUUGAAAUAAUAAAAUUAGUUGAGAUUAUAUAAAA